rnacentral:tRNA from 2 species
GCCCUCAUAGCUCAGUGGUAGAGCGCAUUCUUGGUAAGAAUGAGGUCAUGGGUUCAAUCCCCAUUGAGGGCU